GCAGCAAACAUUAAGAGUACCUGUUUUUCCUGGACUCCAAUUGCUGUCACAGACCCUCAUUCCAAAAGUCAUGAGGUAUUUUCAAUGCAUUUUUGGGGUUGCUGACUUUAAGCCCACGGGAUAAACUCCACUAGUGGUAGUUCAAAAGUCAGAAAAUGCUUGGGAAAAGAAAGCAGAAAAAAGCUGACAUUCUCUCACAAUCACUCAAGUACAAGAGCCACAGUCUUAGCACUGCCAGUUUCCCAUCUCACUAUCUUGCAAUACUUGUUUUUGUAAUCAUUUUCCACGUUGUCUACACAAAAAAACUCUCAGAAGCCAGAAGAACUACAUUCCUUAAAUAUGGACCCUUUCCAGACUCACCCCAAACCUUUCUGUGCGUAAGGCCCUAUACAUACAUGAACAUGCAGAUCAUUACAGGCCCAGCAGUUAAUUCACCUUCAAGUUGCCCUAAUUUUGAGGCUGAACACUUCCUAUACUCCAUCCCUGAUGCUUUCCUGGCUCUCUGAAGGAAGGCGGGCUGCCUCCUGCUUCCUCAUCCAUUUCCGGUUGCCAGGACUACACUGGGGCCUACCCACGCUGCCUCCCCCAAGCCACACCGGUGUGCCCAAUGCGUGGCAGGGUGUGAUCACAGUAACCCCUACAUAUACAGCAUCUUUCUUUCCAAGAAUUUCAGAGCCAGUAGUUGCUUGCUUUCCAGUUUUUCCUUUUCAACUCUUUUUUUAAGACAUGGACACCUCCUCCCCCUCAUUCUUCGUCACCUCCACUCAGAAAGCCUGAGGCUUGCUGAUCCCAUGGUAGACAGAAAGGUCUCUGAAUACGUGGCUGCUGGCUGGUCUGUAACCGGCCUGGGUAAGGUUCAGACAAGACACAGAGCACAUACACUCUUCUAGAAACUUUAAAAUCCAAAUGCAAAUUCUCUGCCCAUCACCUUGAAUGUUGUCAGGAAAUGAAACGCUAAUAUGAGAAGUCACAGUAGGAGAAGUCAUCGGCUACCUGCCUGGGGUCUGAUGACUGCAGGCAAGCCCUUGUGAGGAACGGACACGAUCCAGCCACCGAUGGUAGUUGCCUCCCACAGCAGAUCCUACCCUAUGGACCAGGCCCCACGUUCAGCUCACCCGUUCCUAUGUCUCUCGGACAUAACAACAUUUGAGGGGCCACUAACGGCCUCCUGAACUCCACAGCAACUAUGUCCUCUCAUCAUCCUCUGGCAACGCUACAGACAUAACAAGACUCAACACCACUAACUCCAAGGUACAAUGAAAAAUAAACAGGUAGUCCCUUCCCAAGCUCAGAGCAUACCUACAGAUGUCAGCUCGCAACAUAUGCAUUUAUUUUCUUUGUAUACUUUACAUUCCUCUAUGACUAAGUCAAGACAAACCCCACUUAGGAAACUUUUUAAGAAGAGAGAGGCCCAGUCCUUCCAAUUUUUGUACAAGGAGCAAAUCCUCCAAUACCCACUUUGUGUGCUUAGGGUCCUGAAAGCUGCCAGAAUCAGCUGAAGGAUGGAGGGAGACAGAAGAUUUUUGUGAUGAAUCCCUCUUUUCAGAAAGUUUUAGAAAUAACUGUACAAUCAAAUAGAUGCAAUGCAUUGCUCAAAUCAGUAUGUAAACUUAGAAUGGAAACUAUGGCUUUAGGUUUUCUACUUAUAUUUCUUUACAUAUCUCUACUUAUAUUUCCUCUUAUAUUUCUCUUCUUAUAUUUUGACUGAAAAGGAUAAACUGUCUCCUGUAAAACAAAAUUACUUUUCGUCUUCAAGAUAUAAUUAACAUAGGAAUUGGUACCUUUGCAUCUUUCCUAUGCAUUUGUAUCAAAGACUCAAUGGUACAAACACAAGGAUGCAUACCUGUAAGGUUCCUAACCACACUUCUGCAUUAAGAAGAUUAGUGAGCAAUCUAACAAAAGGGUGUUUACUUUUAGUGCACCCCGAUUCUGUAUCACUCAGCCCAUUUGCAAUCUGUAAUACUGAUAUCAUUUAAUUGGUAUUUACCGAUAUUUUGGAGACAAAGGGAUCCACGCUUCUCCAUCAAUCAGACUUAGUAUAUGCACAAAAGUCAAAACGAACCAGUCAAGAGACAGAAAAAUUAAGCCUCUGGGAUGCUACACUACUGUCUCUUGUGUGGUUAAUUUUGACGAUCUUGUUGAAGCACAGCCUUUAGCAAUGUGCUUUUUCAUACAAACAUCCAUAGCUCAGAGACGAUUAAUCACUAUCUAUUACUCACCUUCUGGCAACACCCAUUCUAAGCUAGGCACCAUCCAGACACAUCAAGACAGUCCUCGUCUGAAGGUUUUGGGGUAAAAAAGAGCCAUUUCUGAGACCCAAUCCUGAUGGACAGGCAUCUACAGACCCCCGUGGCACUCGACACAGCUACUAGGAUCUGCCAGAAUAAAGCUGUUCACAGGAUAACUUUAUCACAAAUACCAUUCUUUCAAAAAGGGACAAGGUAUGUAUUAAACACAUCAGCUAUACCUACUUUUCAGUACCUGCCAACUGCUACUGGUGUUACGGUACAAGUAAGCCUUGUGAAAGGAUUUUGCUGAAGAAAUACAGUGAAUCUUCAUAGAUUUAUCGAUCAGAGCACCUCACUUGGUUACAGGAAAGUAGUUAUUCUGUUCUUCUGUGGCAUUAGUAACUUCUCAAACAAAGAAGCCUGAUUGAGGCAGACAGUGAGGGGCUUAUCAGCUUAGGAAAUGGGAAGGAUGGUCCAAUUAACUGCCAAGCAGUCAGACAUAAUUCACUCUGACCAGACCAAUGAGAGACAAGUCCCAGAAAUGCAUGUCCUGUCCAUUUAUGUAACACCCAAACAUUCCCCCCUGCAAAGUCUCCCCCUCUGGAAGUGUUACCUAACUAAGGAGCAAGCCAGUAUAGGAAAAUCUACCUGUAUCAGGCUGCAUCCAAACCAGCACCCUCUCUGAUUAAGCAACCACCUCAGUGGUAUAGGAGACAUUGCCAGUCACUAAACUGCUGAACUCGGGCACUGACAGCCAUCACCAAGCAGACAGCCAGAAAGCUCUGUGCAAGGUUAUCCAGGGUACACACCACUGUGCUGUCUUCUCACAUAUCAAUGAACGGGGCAAGAUGUAGAAAGCACAAAAAGGAAAAAAACCCCUGCCUUGUAGGGUGUAGGUAGGCAGGCUUCAUCUCCUUCUUCUGAGUCUCUUCUGCUAGCACAGAAAUAGGCAGAAUGUUACUGAAGUGAUAUGACAAUGUUAAAAACAAACAAAUAAAAAACCUGAAGGCAAACCAUAUGUAACAGCUGAUUAGGAAAACUGUGAAUCCAGCCACACAGCUGCUCUUCAUGUCCUCUGCCAUGCUUAGUACCCCACCGGUCCAGGGGAAACAGAAGGAGGGCACAGAGAAAGAAGAAGAGGAGAAAUUUCACAAAAAAUGCUAGAACGAAAAGAGAAAGUUCUCAGUGAACCACAGUUCUAGCUUGGGAUCCAUCAUCUAGGAGGCAGCAGGCAUUUAAAGUGGAGACAGGAGAAAAAAAGAAAGAAAAAAAAAAGCCCACCGAACAUUGAUUCAUAAAUACAAAAUUCAUAUGAUGUUUAUCAAAAGAGUGGAAUCUUUAUUCUGCAACAAAUACGUGCAGGUGGCACCUGAUCCAUCCUUUGAUAAAGCACCUUUUUUUGUAUAAUCCUCUUCAUUUUUAAGUGCUAGACUUAAGACUGCCAUGUUUAGAAAUACAUGCUUUAUGCACUGUGAGCAGCAGUGUAAAAAACCCCAGUUGUGUGAAAUAUUUACGUUACGUAUGGCAACAUCCUAUUUGUCAGCCAGUUACCAGGAGCUAAGGAAUCUGUGUGGCACUAGCAAAGUUGCCUUGCAGCAGGGUGUUAGAGCAAGCACGAAUCGGACUAUAUAUGGUAUGUUUACUGAACGAUUAGGCAUAAAGAUGUUACAGAAGAAACGAUGUCUUGUAUUAGAUGCUGGGCUUCCUGCUGCAAGGCAAACCAUCUUGCUCAGAAAGCAGUCUGUCACAUAUUCCUCAUACGCUUCUGGCUGUGGGUGCCAGUGAAACCUCUAGAAAACAGGAACAGGUUAUGCUGCAUGUAAUGAUUAACUACAUGGAGGAUCAGCACUCCAAGCUCCGCCCGCCAGCAUUCCCUGUCUCCUUGCAGCUCUUCCUCCCCCGCUACUUUUCUUCGGCUGGGACUGUUCGGCAGGCAACCCUGCGGAGGGCAGGAAGGCACACACACAGGCACAUGCUGCGCUGCCUCUGCGACGAGAUGACGGCCAAAGCCAAGUUGCAGCCCCUUCUUUCCUCUGAUUCCUUUCAUGUUCCAUCACACUCCAGCACAAACACAGGCACACGGGAAAGAGACGCCAGAAAACAAAACAUUGAGUUCAUCACAGACUGAAACUGGAUGCAUAGUUUCUUUACUGGAAGGAAAUGGAUCAACUCACCAGGACCAUCGGCCCUCAAGUGCCAGACUUCUCACCUUCAUUGCUGCUUUUUGAUAUUUAGCAACUCCUCAAGAAACCGUCAAAACUAUACAAAGUGGUAAGGGGGUGGGAAAACAAAGCAAAAAAAAAUAACCCUCAAACCACAUACGCAAAAGACUGCAUGCCACACAAAUCUAACCAGAGCACAGUGCAGGAGCAGCAGCAGUCAUCACAGCACCAACAUAUCAUCAUACCACAGCAGAUUUAUGUCUUCACUGUGUACAGUAUUCACAGGUUUAAUGAACAGCCCAAAGAUCAGAAAUAUACCUGUUAAGCAAUAAAAGCAUCAACUCAAAGCUGUGCUGGAUGGUUUUUGACAGAGGUUAAGCGGUUAGUAACCAGCAACAAGAACUUUUAAGCAGCAGACAUACUAAUCGUGGGAGCACAGUAACAAAAGAACCAGGGGCAAAAACAUGCUACAAAAAUGAGGACCCUGAAGAGCUCAGCAGCACACACAUACCCCUCCAUCAUGUGCAAAAUAAACUUGGAGAAGCCAACAAAGAAGAAAGAUGAUUCCACGACCUCCAGAGCACAGCAAAUCCCUCAGAGCAAUAAGUGCUAGGCAUCAGAAACUUCCUGGUUUCCAGGCCGUUGUUUCACAUUUUCUGGGGAGUUUUCACGCUGUGGGAAAGACUUCCAAGUACACUGAAAGUAAGCCUGCAACAUCCCCUUCCACUCCCACAGCAAGUAUGCAGUCCAUAAAAGAUUAAAGUGUUGGAAACAUA